rnacentral:rRNA from 1 species
AGUGAACGCUGGCGGUAGGCCUAACACAUGCCAGUCGAACGGCAGCACAGUAAGAGCUUGCUCUUACGGGUGGCGAGUGGCGGACGGGUGAGGAAUACAUCGGAAUCUACUUUUUCGGGGGGGAUAACGUAGGGAAACUUACGCUAAUACCGCAUACGACCUACGGGUGAAAGCAGGGGAUCUUCGGACCUUGCGCGAAUGAAUGAGCCGAUGUCGGAUUAGCUAGUUGGCGGGGUAAGGGCCCACCAAGGCGACGAUCCGUAGCUGGUCUGAGAGGAUGAUCAGCCACACUGGAACUGGGACACGCUCCAGACUCCUACGGGAGGCAGCAGUGGGGUAUAUUGGACAAUGGGCGCAAGCCUGAUCCAGCCAUACCGCGUGGGUGAAGAAGGCCUUCGGGUUGUAAAGCCCUUUUGUUGGGAAAGAAAAGCAGCAGGUUAAUACCCCGCUGUUCUGACGGUACCCAAAGAAUAAGCACCGGCUAACUUCGUG